GCUGUGAAAGAGACAAAGAGGGUGGACAACAAGGAUGACGAGGAAGAGGUGACACCGGCGGAUGAUAGGACGGUGUUUCUGACGUUUUCCAAAGGAUAUCCAAUUUCUGAAUCGGAGGUUAGGGUUCACUUCACGAGGAAGUUUGGAGAAGUGAUAGAAGCCAUAGUGAUGCAACAAGUGCAAGAAAAUGAGCAGCCCUUGUUUGCGAGGAUGGUGUUGAAGAUGGAAUAUGCAUCGAAGAUUGAAGAGAUCGUGACUCCAAUGAACAAAAACAAGUUCACUAUUGAUGGAAAACAUGUUUUGGUUCGCAAGUUCUUUGCUGCCCCCUCCUCCUCGCAUGUUCGACCGCCUUCUUGAGUUUUAGACCAUCUUUAACGCGGAACUUUAACAGAGGUUUUAAAGAUAAAAACUGAUUUAAUUAAAUGAAAAUUAAAACAAUAGGCAAUUACCGAUCCUUAGAAAGGGAUUUUGGUAACCGUUUUUAAAGGGAGUUUUUCGAACACGUGCAAGCACAAAAAAAUUUCUUUUUUUUUUCUCUUUUCUUUUCUCUCUGUUCUUUCUUUCUCGACUUCUCCUUUGGCGAUUGAAACCGGCGUCUCCUCCGGCUUCUAUGAUCUCCUCACGGCGUCUCUUUUUCUCCAUUGAGAAUCACAGAAGAGAUUGAGAUGUCAACACUAGCAAAGAUGGAACGCUGUCAUCUUCGGCCCAGAUGAUACGCCUAGGGAUGGAGUUGAACAGAACUUACAGAACCAAUGGAGUCCCAUCUAUGUAUCUCUUUCUUUGUCGACAAAGCCGUUGCUAUCAUGUUGGAUACAAAGGUAACAUCUUGUUUUUUUUGUUUGUUUGUGAAGAGAGGCAUUGCUAGAAGAUACAAGAGUAGGAUUUAGGCAUUGUUAUUGUGUUACAUGUAGGUCUGAGUAUUGAACUGUUUUGAGUAACACUCAAAGUCCUAUGACGAAAGUGAAACAUAAUAGAAGUUAAUCGGUGUCAGUUUGAGGUAUGUGUGUGUGUGUGUUAUAUUUUUAACCGUAGAGUGCCAAUCUUCCUUCUAUAACAGGUUGAUAUCAUAUUUGUUGUAUAUAUUUGUUGUAUAUGCAAGUCACGAGUAUUGUCUGUAUGUUAGGAACAUGUUGGUUUUGGUUCUUCUCUUCUUCUCUAUAUAAAGUUGUGAUUCACCAAGCAUUUUAUUCACAAAGUCUCAUUAUCUCCUUCUCACCAAACAAGUUUCAUUCUCUCUUUCUCACCAAAUAAGUUUUAUUAUCUCCUUCUCACAAAGUAAUCUAAAACACUCUCUUUGAUCACAAAUAUUAUUCACAAAUGUUUUUUUCAAAUUACUCUUGAUUAUUGUAUUAAUCUUUAUUUUUAUGUUGUUUUUUAAAUCUAUGUUUUAAAUGUUAUCUUUUAAUAUGUUUUAUUUAAUAAAUAAUUUUAUGUUUAAAAAAAAAAUCUAAGAACCUUUAACUAAGAAACUUUCAUUGGACCACUCAAAAUUAGAGUUUCUUAACUAAAAUUCUUAGGUUACUUUUAUUAAUUAAAAAAUCAUUAAGAAACCCAUUAAAGGUUAUAGGGAUAAUCAUGCUCUAUAAGUUGUGUUUUUGCUUCUGAAUAAAAAAAUGGCGUUUGUUCUUUAUUAAUACUUUGUAAUUCAUUAAAGUGGCAAGAUGGAUUACCUAUUUUCUAAUACAUCUUUCGUUUUGAAUGUGAUUUAUUUUCUAUUGGAUAAUACAAUUUUAAAACCUGAAGUGCAGCACCCAAGGAGCAAAAGACCUUUAUUUCCUCGGUUGUAAAAGUUCAAAAUAAAUAUUCAAAAUAAAUGACUGAUAUAGUGAUGUAGAAUUAGAAUAUUAAUAAUUAAAUUAGAAUUUUAACAUUAAUGACAAUUAUAAAUUUGAUAAAAAAAUACCACAAUAUCAGAUUGUUUAAGUUUACAAAAUGAAACUUUUCCUGGACCAAAGUUUAAAAUUAAUUAAUUACGACAAAAUUAUAUGUAAGGUAACAAACGGCUCUCAUAAAAUUAUCAUUAUCAAACAAAAUUUAGGUUGUUCUUAUUUCGUGGUACAAUACUGUUUCUUUUUUAUGAAAAUAAAUUUCAGCAUGUAGAAAAAGAGGUACGGACUAACAUGAAUAGACAACAAAACCAAGCAAACAAAUAGUUGCCAUUGGAAUUAUUUUGCAAGGAAUUCAUUCAUUAUUAGUGGAGAGUGUCAGAUUUUGAAAUGUAAAAUGCAUGACAUAAUUCGGCGUAUGUAGUUCGUACAAAAGAAUAAUAAAUCAAAGCUUAUUCAGACGGUUACCAAAUAUGGUAUUCACGAUCAAAGCUUGAUCUUAACAUUCAUACAAGAAAAGAAUAAACCAAAGCCAUUUGAUGGUACUACAAAGGCAAUGCUAUUUCUGUAGGUAAAAAUAACCGCUGAACUCUACUUAAAUCCCACCAUUAUGUCUUCUUGCCAAGAUAAAAGCAUGAAUUUUGUUUCGUGUUUACCCAAGAUUUUUGAUGAAUCAUCACUCCGUUCUUGUAUUUCAACAUGUACAAACCAGUUAACCCUAAUUAAAACCCCUUACCAAUCCUUAAGUUUUAGUUUCAGCAAUGACAAUUUGACUUUUGAUACAAUAGGCUACAGAUGUUCGGUACAACUUGUAAUAGUGUUUGAAGCAUGGUUGUGAAAUGUGUCCAGAGUGCUCUUCUGUUGCAUCUGUGGAGUUAACAGAGACAAGAAACAAUGCAACAAUACAAGAAACAAUUACAGCAAUCGUUAGAUAUGUGGAAAUAAUGGAGAAAGGAUUCUUCGGGUUGAAGAGUGGAGGUAAAAGCUUGGGAAGUCUAAUGCUGCAACUAAUUGCUAUUAUUUAUGGAGAACAUGCGGUAACAGGAAAGCUCCGGAAACAUAUAUGGAGGUAAAACCUUCAAUUCAUCCUCUUAAAGGCAAGAAGAAUGCUCAUCUUCUACAUACCAUGUUCAAUCAACCAGUGCUCAUGGUAUUGUGGUUACUCUCAAACACACCACAUGAGGGAUGAUGAUAUUUCUUGGAAUUGUCAAAGGUUGGGAAUACCUCUGAAAAUUCCACAUCUUAAUGCUAUUAGUAUCUGCUAAGGAGGGGAAGUGGUGGACUAGCCAUCUUUUGAAAUGAUGAGGUCAAGAUUCAUUUUGGAAAACCCUUCUCUCUAUUGUUCAAACAUGUAUGUAAAAGAUGGCAGAAAUACUUUUUGACAUGUAUGUUGAACUAUCGUCAGGCUCAUUGGAGAAAACUUAUAAAUUUGCUGCUGCUCGAGUUUAUCAGCACAAACCUCAACUAAUAUUUCGGUACUUCAAUGAUAUUAAAGGCAAUUAUGAGAAGGAAUUAGGAGUUAUUAAGUCAUAAGCCUCAUUUUCCUUGUUUAAUCAUAUGCUAUUGUUAUUCGGGCUUCAUGAUUCAAAACAAUAUAGGGAAGAUUUACUUGUAUUGGUAAUAAACCUAAGUUCAAAAUUAAAUAUCAGAUUUAUAGAGCAGUGGCUAAUUAUGACUGCAUUGAUAUGUAAUCAUCUUCUUGUAUUUAUCAACCACCUUGGAUUGAUUCUGAUAAUCGGGCAUUAUUUAUUAGUACUUAUUCAUUUAAAUAUAGUGAAGAAAAAUGUUUAGAUAUGACAAUAGAUAGAUGCUGCAACACGAGGUAAAACAAGUGAUAUAUGAUGUUUGAAGUCAAGAAUCUAUUAAUCUACAUCUGAUAAUAUAUAUCAUGAUUUUUAUGAAAUAUUUCCAUGGUAUAAGUCCUUAUUUAGAGUCUUUAUAUUAUUUUCGAGUUGGUUUUAGAACUUUUGCAGGUUCAAGUACGAUUUGAAGCAUUUUGAAGAUUCUAGAGAUAUUUGGAUCAUGAAGAGAACUGAUGCUGAAAAGUUAAAGUCGGAGUCGAUCUGUCACUACGGUGUCGAUCGACACUCAGUUUGGUAUCGGCCGACACCCGUCUCAAGUUAACAAACUGACAUGCUUUAAUGAUGUUUGAAGAAUUAUACAAAACCCAAAAGUUUUCCUUAUUUGAAGAGAAGCUUCUAAUCGUGUUUUUACCUAUAUUAGGUUUUCUUAAGCAACUUUUUAGGCGACCCCAAAUUAAAUUUUAGAGAGAUUUGAAGAGAAAGAUCAGCACUCAUUCAGAGAUUGAUUUGAAACUUCAGAAAUUUUAUUUUACCUUAAUACAAUUUAUCCAGACUUCAUUUAUGCGUU